ACCCAACUGACGAGUCCCAAAUAGGAUGAAAUGUGCAUCCUGGAU
rnacentral:hammerhead_ribozyme from 1 species